rnacentral:rRNA from 1 species
UAUGUGAUCGUCUCUCGCAUAUCAAUAAGCGGAGGAAAAGAAACUAACAAGGAUUCCCCUAGUAACGGCGAGUGAAGCGGGAAGAGCUCAAAUUUGAAAUCUUAAAGGGUUUCCCUUUACGAAUUGUAGUUUAAAGAAGUGUUUUCUGUUGAGGUUUUGGUAAAAGUUCUUUGGAAUAGGACAUCAUAGAGGGUGAGAAUCCCGUAUUUGACCUUUACUUUCAACUUUGUGAUACACUUUCAAAGAGUCGGAUUGUUUGGGAAUGCAGUCCAAAAUGGGUGGUAAAUUUCAUCUAAAGCUAAAUAUUGGCGAGAGACCGAUAGCGAACAAGUACCGUGAGGGAAAGAUGAAAAGAACUUUGAAAAGAGAGUUAAACAGUACGUGAAAUUGUCAAAAGGGGAGCGUUUGACACCAGUGUUGUUUUUCUGAAAAUCAAUUAAAGAACUGUUUAUGCUAAGUUGUUUAGACUUUAUCAGCUAACUGUUUAGUUUUGAGCUUUUCUUUAAUGCACUUUUCAGUUAACAAGUCAACAUCAAUUUCUUUUGCUGUAAAAAAGCUUGAGGAAGGUGGCUUGAGAUUCGUCUUAAGUGUUUAUAGCCUCUUGCCUAUGCAGUCGGAGAGAUUGAGGUCUGCAGCGUAGAUCCUUCGGGGCUAAAUGCAUUUGUGCUAAGUUAUAGCAUUCUAUAGACAACUUGUUGACUAUGAUUUGUCUUGUAGCUUACUCGCUUAUGUUAUUUUACCUACGCUUAGGAUGUUGAAGUCAUCGUAUCGCGC